GACGAACGCUGGCGGCGUGCUUAACACAUGCAAGUCGAACGAAGUGGCGAACGGGUGAGUAACGCGUAAUCCACCUGCCCUUCAGAGGGGUACAACAGUUGGAAACGACUGCUAAUACCGCAUACUGAAGGAGGGGAUUGCGUCUGCUUCGCUUGUUGGGGGGGUAACGGCCCACCAAGGCGAAGAUCAGUUGCCGGUUUGGAGAGAGGAACGGCUACAUUGGGAAUGAGGCACGGCCCAGACUGCGUCGGGAGGCAGCAGUUGGGAAUCUUCCGCAAUGGACGAAAGUCUGACGGAGCAACGCCGCGUGAGGGGUGACGGCCGUCGGGUUGGAAAGCUCUGUUAAUCGGGACGCGGUACCGGAAUAGAAAGCCACGGCUAACUACGUGCCAGCAGCCGCGGUAAUAC
rnacentral:rRNA from 1 species